AUUGAACGCUGGCGGCAGGCCUAACACAUGCAAGUCGAGCGGAUGAAGCCAGCUUUUUCCUGGAUUCAGCGGCGGACGGGUGUGUAAUGCCUAGGAAUCAGCCUGGCAGGGGGGGAUAACGUCAGCAAACGGGCGCUAAUACCGCAUACGUCCAGAUGGUGAAAGUGGGGGAUCUUUGGACCUCAAGCUAUCAGAUGAGCCUAGGCCGGAUUAGCUAGUUGGUGGGGUAAAGGCCUACCAAGGCGACGAUCCGUAGCUGGUCUGAGAGGAUGAUCAGCCGCACUGGAGCGGGGACACGGUCCAGACUCCUACGGGAGGCCGCAGUGGGGAAUAUUGGACAAUGGGCGAAAGCCUGGUCCAGCCAUGCCGCGUGUGUGAAGAAGGUCUUCGGAUUGUAAAGCACUUUAAGUUGGGAGGAAGGGCAGUAAGUUAAUACCUUGCUGUUUUGACGUUACCAACAGAAUAAGCACCGGCUAACUUCGUG
rnacentral:rRNA from 1 species